AGCACCAUACAUUCACAACAAUCUCUACCUUGGUGCCCCAAGCCUUGGCAAACCCUGCACAAUCCACCUGCAUGAUCCUUCUACCUUCUUUGUCUCUUGGCACCCUCCAGUGUUCUGUUGUCCACCAGUACUCCAUGUUCAUGCAUCUAACACAUCCGCAUCCACUACCGUCAUAGUGGAUCUCCUGUGCACCACAUUCUGUGCAUCAUCCCCACACCCUACAUGCCUUCGCCACC
rnacentral:lncRNA from 1 species